CCGGGGAUCGCCACGUAGAUAGGAAAAAUCGAAGAAGGUUAAUUCCGGGAGGCAGCAGCAGCAGGUAUCUUUUUAGUGCUGAAAUGGACACGCUAAUUGUGAACCACGUGGUCAGGAGCUCCUUCUAAAAUAUGCAGCAGCACAUUUACUGGAGUUUAACAAGCUGUGUGCUUUAAGGCCCAUGCUGCCUGCAAUCAUGUGAGCAAACCUUGCAAGUCCCAGUGCCAGCUCGAGAUGCAGCAGAGCCCAGAAGGGCAGCCCUGGAACAGCCCCCACCACUGGCAAGGCACAGGGACGAGACGCUGACCUGCGACGGGAGCAGAGGCCUCGCUACCAGCAUCGCUCACGGUUUCGCUUCUGGCAACGUACAUUUCCAUUUUUCUCAAAGCUUCCACGUCUGUGUCAUCAGACAAAGCCCCACGAGUGGUGGCAGACUGUAGCUUUCAUUUUCAAGUUUGAAGAGAAAAAAUUAUUUACAUGUCUAAGUCCCAGAACUGGCUGUCCAGAGGUCACUCUUUAUUGGCCACUCUUAUGAACCAUUAGGGCUUCCCAAAGCUCUAAAAGAAAUGGGACACAGUCUGGGGCAGAAAAAUCUCAUUGUUUAAAAUUUCCUUAAAUUCUAUUUCAUUGUAUUAUUAUUAUUUUAUUCAUAUUAUUUUUGUCCUACCAGAGGAAGAUGAAAGAUGGGAUGUUUCUAUCAUUGCUUGCAUGAAUGACUACUUAAAUUGACUGUCAGAGCUUGCAGGACAAAUCUUUGACCCUUCUUAAGUUUGUUUUAAACUGAAGGAAAUUAUCUUUUAUUGAUUAGAACUUUAGGCUAUUUUAAAAGGAAAAUUAUUGAUUCAUGCAUGAAUUUUAUUGUUUAAUCAGCCUUCUAUCUCAGUAUUUAUAUAUAUAGUUUUGGUUACAAAUUUAGGAAAACGUUUAACUAUGUGUUUUAAUGCUGGACUGCCUUUUUUUUCCCCUUUCCUGUUUAAGACAUGUUUUUCUGAAUCAAAUCCUUGAAUUUAGUGACAAUUAGUACAAUUUCCAGACACAUCAGCAAGAGUUUC